CGGCCGCGCUGGUUCUCCUUGAGGUCCAGGUAGUACUUGCGGUUCUCGCGCACCAGGAACUCGCUCUUGAGCGCGCGGCGCGGCCCGCCGCCCUCCUCGGCGCCCGCCGCCAGCUGCUCGGGGCUGCUGGGACCCAGCUGCGCGUAGUGCUCGAUGAAGUCGCCCAGCGAGUCGCGGAACUCGGCGGCCACCGCCAUCGACAGCGUGAGGCGGCUCUUGGAGCCGCCCGCGCCCACCUCGGCGAUCUUGAGGAAGCGGCCCUUGGCGUUCUGCUUCACGUCCAGGAUCAGAAAAGAAGUCCACCCAAGCCUUGCGAUACCUCAGUACUGCUCUGUCCUCAGAGUACAAAAAGGGCUCAAGACCACUUGAGAAUCCCCAGCAGCAGGAGCCAGCAGCAGCCGCUCAGGGCUCGGGCUUUUUUACAUCCUCUCAAGAGUCCUCAGAACUCCAAACAGAAGCUGUCUUCAGCUGCAGAACCCGGACCCAGGUUCGAGUCUCAGAAGACACACACGGCAGCCCAUAGCCAUGUAUAAUUCCAGUUCCAGGGGAUCCAGCACCCUCCUCUGGCCUUCUUGAGCACCUGCACACACAUGGUUAACAUACAUGCAGGUUGACUUCUGUGCUCUCCCUGGUCAUCAGGUCCUGGGCAUUCAGAUACAAAGACAAGCAAUGUCUCCACGUCACAUCACUGCUCCCAACUCUCUAUUUGGUGCUUUGAAAAGCACUGCUCAGACUGGCCUGGCGGUGCAUGAAUAAGCCCAGCUCUCAGGGACAAGAAAGAUCAGAACUGCAGGAGGAGGGGUUCUUGCCUGUUUGUGUGUCGGUGCAUUGCAUGCCCACUGAGGGUGUGAUGGCUAAAGAAACUCCAUUUUGUGUUGGGAGUUCAUCUUGGUACCAAAUAGCCAUUUGUCUCUGACUCAAGUUCCUGGAAGGCAUUCAAGGACUGUUCUGAAGUCACCUUGACCCUCCAUCUAAUCCGGGUAGAGCAGGACAGCCCCCAUGGGUUUUACCUUUAAAUGUCCUUCCUGCUCCCUCAUCUGACUCUGAUUGAGUGCAGCCUUGCCAGAAGUUCUAAUAAAUUCUGCUAAUUAUAAUCAGAAU
rnacentral:lncRNA from 1 species